rnacentral:rRNA from 1 species
UGGGGAAUAUUGCACAAUGGGCGCAAGCCUGAUGCAGCCAUGCCGCGUGUAUGAAGAAGGCCUUCGGGUUGUAAAGUACUUUCAGCGGGGAGGAAGGCGAUAAGGUUAAUAACCUUGUCGAUUGACGUUACCCGCAGAAGAAGCACCGGCUAACUCCGUGCCAGCAGCCGCGGUAAUACGGAGGGUGCAAGCGUUAAUCGGAAUUACUGGGCGUAAAGCGCACGCAGGCGGUCUGUCAAGUCGGAUGUGAAAUCCCCGGGCUCAACCUGGGAACUGCAUUCGAAACUGGCAGGCUAGAGUCUUGUAGAGGGGGGUAGAAUUCCAGGUGGAGCGGUGAAAUGCGUAGAGAUCUGGAGGAAUACCGGUGGCGAAGGCGGCCCCCUGGACAAAGACUGACGCUCAGGUGCGAAAGCGUGGGGAGCAAACA